rnacentral:rRNA from 1 species
CUAAGUUUGAUGGCGACCGGCGCACGGGUGAGUAACACGUAUCCAACCUGCCGAUGACUCGGGGAUAGCCUUUCGAAAGAAAGAUUAAUACCCGAUGGCAUAGUUCUUUCCGCAUGGUGGAACUAUUAAAGAAUUUCGGUCAUCGAUGGGGAUGCGUUCCAUUAGGUUGUUGGCGGGGUAACGGCCCACCAAGCCUUCGAUGGAUAGGGGUUCUGAGAGGAAGGUCCCCCACAUUGGAACUGAGACACGGUCCAAACUCCUACGGGAGGCAGCAUG